UUGCCCUCUUAAGGCUGAUGGUGCUUUAAGUGGCCAACACAGAGGGGUAUAGUAAUUGUCUCUUAAACCCAGAGGCAAGAACGGAGCUUUCCUCUGGAUCCUGUCAGGACAAACAAAU